AGGGACAAUAUUGGUUUUUCCUCAAGCAUUUCCCAUUGAACAAGAAAUCCAAACUCUCUUCAAUUUUAGUCCAUCAUCUUUCUCUUCUACUCCUUUUCUUCCCUACAAAAAACCCUAAAUUUUCCUCUCAGAUCGGAACCCUAAUUGAAAAUGGCGACUACGUUGAGCUCCGCCGGUGGUCUACUAGCUAUGUUGAAUGAAAAUCACCGACAGUUGAAACUCCACGCGCUGUCAAAUCUCAAUGCAUUUGUUGAUUACUUUUGGCCUGAGAUUUCUACAUCGGUUGCGCUCAUGAGUUGUUUGGUAGCUGGUUAGAAUUUUGCAAGAAAUAGUACUGCAGUAUUAGUUGCUCUUAGGUAAGUUUCAGAAUUUAAUUUUGUGUUGUUUUUGUUUUGUGAAAUUGAAUUGUGUAAAAUUGUUGAAUUGUUGAACAAUUAAUUGAUUUGUAUAGUUAAUGUACGAUUGUUGUGUAAUUUCUGAAUGAAGAGUUGUUUGGUA